CACACACCAGCCAUUCACUCCAAGAAGGAACUGGGAUAUGAUCUUUCUCAAGCCGGGAGAGUUGGCAGGUCGGAGAGGGACUUUCCAGACAAAUCCCGUUUGGGGAAACCUCUGCUAUUUAAGAAUUGAAAAAACCCAAAGGCUUUUAAAAAGGUCUCGGUCUUCCCUCCCUCCUUUCAGAAAGUAGGGCUGGUUGAUUUAAACCUGUCAGACUCUUAUCUGGAAAAAGUUAGGAAGGGAGAUUUUUCGUUCUAUCUGCAAAGGGACAGCGGACUCCAGUGGAACCUAGAUUUACCCCGGAAGCAGGAUAUUAGCCAUAGUGAUAGUAACUAUCAAUCGGCAAAAGCGUCACGUACAAUGAUCAGACUGAUGCAAACACAGAAGGGUGGAUGGUUCUCUUCCAGGAAAACGACUGGCUCCUCCCGUAAUUUGGGAGAAACCAAACUGGCCUCCUCACCACCUCUACCAGACCUCCCCCCGCCCCACUUCGGGUUCUUCCCAGCGGCCAGACUCUGCCGGGCGCCGGGAAGCGCGCUGGGCAUCACUCGACCGCCCCGGCCCGGGCCUCGGCGCGGCGCCUACCAGGUUCACCGGGUGCACGUAGCCGUUCUCGUAGCGGUCCUCCUGCAGCAGCUGCCGCAGAACUUGAAGCUAAGCCUCAGAGAUGGAUGUUAAGUAAAGGACCCCAUAUCGACAGGCUGCCUACAGGCAAGCUGAGAGAAGCUUAAGGAGACAGACGGGCAGUCGACCGGGACGGUGCGGGCAGAAGCCGCAGGCCAGCCUCGCCCCGCCCACUCCUCCAGCAGAACAAAUGCGCCGGGCUUGGUGCCUGAAGUGCCGCAACAGGUGGCUGGCCAGGGCUGACUUCAUCACUCAGGCAUCAUCGUUCCACCUUCGUCUCUCAGGCCAGGCCUCCCUGUGGGGAUGUUUUGCCAAACCCCUCCCGCUCGCCCCCGUUUGCAGAGGUUUUCUCCAGAUAUAGU